rnacentral:rRNA from 1 species
AUGCAUCUCCACUUGUUCCUAGAACAACAACACAAACAAAAUGGUAUCCAAACUCAUUGGGACCAAAGAGUUUGUAACACCCCGGAUGUAACUUUUCCAAUUUGUACUCCAACUCUUGUCGUUUCCGGCGUUAAGUUAAUUUAUUUCCUCGGGUUCGGGUCUUUGUCUCCGUGUGUUGUUGUCGUUGUUAUGCAUCUCAUAUCAUGUCAUCAUGUGCAUUGCAUUUGCAUACGUGUUCGUCUCAUGCAUUCGAGCUUUUUCCCCAUUGUCCGUUUUGCAUUCCGGCGCUUCAUUCUCCUCCGGUGGUCAUUUCUACCUUUCUUUCGUGUGUGGGGAUUAAAUAUUUACGGAUUGGACCGAGACUUGCCAAGCGGCCUUGGUUUACUACUGUUAGACCGCCUGUCAAGUUUCGUAUCAUUUGGACUUCGUUUGAUACUCCAACGGUUAACCGAGGGACCGAAAAGGCCUCGUGUGUGUUGCAGCCCAACACCCCUCCAAUUUGGCCCAAAACCCACCUAA